rnacentral:rRNA from 1 species
UACAGAGGGGGCAAGCGUUGUUCGGAAUUACUGGGCGUAAAGGGCGCGUAGGCGGCCUGUUAAGUCGAACGUGAAAUCCCCGGGCUCAACCCGGGAACUGCGUCCGAUACUGGCAGGCUUGAAUCCGGGAGAGGGAUGCGGAAUUCCAGGUGUAGCGGUGAAAUGCGUAGAUAUCUGGAGGAACACCGGUGGCGAAGGCGACUACCUGGCCUGUUCUUGACGCUGAGGCGCGAAAGCUAGGGGAGCAAACGGG